rnacentral:misc_RNA from 1 species
CAAAAUCCUCUUCAUCUUCUUCAUGUUCAUCAUCUUCAUCAUCCUCCUCAUACACAUAUUUUCACAUAUUAACAAUAAAGGUCAAGUCUCAACAUAUUUUCACAUAUUCACAAUAAACAAUAUGUCAAAAUCACAAAUUUAUACUAAAAAGAAAAGAAAAAGAAAAACAUUGCAGGGUAAGGACUAAGGAGAGAGCAUGAAAAGAAGAAAAUGAAAAAUUGCAGCUGCUGUAACAGUGCAGAAACCAGAACAGAGAGAGCAUGGCAUUGGCAGCCAAAAAAAAAAAAAAGAAGCAGAAACAGAAAGUGCAAUGCAGAAGAGAGAGCAUGGCAGUCCAAAAAAAAAAAAAAAAGAGAAGAAGUGCAGUGCAGAAACACUACAGCAGGGAGAGAGAGAGAGAGCAUUGCAGUCCAAAAAAAAAAAAAGAGAAGCAGAAACAGAAAGUGCAGUGCAGAAACACUACAG